UAUGCAGUCUGUUAGAGACGCUUAGAAUUCCGGCAGUAACCGGCAACGCUGGCACAGGGACGUGCCAGCGAGGCACAUCUUAAGCAUGGAUGCGAAUAUGUGCCGGGUGCCGGAAGAUACGGAAACUUUAACGGAAUUCUUAGCGUCUCUUUCAGACGGAAUGU
rfam:Roseburia sp. CAG:45 genomic scaffold, scf3